UUGAGGGCCCUGCUCAGUGAGUUUACAUGUUAGAGGGAGUGGGGUAUAGUGACACAGUAACAGAGGGAUUGAGGGCCCUGCUCAGUGAGCUUACAUGCUAGAGGGAGUGGCACAACGGGUCGGGUAGAAAAGUAGAUUGCUAGAAUUCACUGAGGACUUAGUGGGUUAUUUUUGACAUUUGCAGGAGAGGAAACAGUGUGCGGGGAGGUAAAGCUGUUAACAGUUUAAUUGAUAUACUUAGG